rnacentral:misc_RNA from 1 species
GAUGAAGAACGUAGCGAAAUGCGAUAAGUAAUGUGAAUUGCAGAAUUCAGUGAAUCAUCGAAUCUUUGAACGCCCCUUGCGCCCUUUGGCCAUUCCGAAGGGCAUGCCUGUUUGAGUAUCAUGAACACCUCAACUCUUCAUGGUUCUCCGUGAUGAGCUUGGACUUUGGGGGUCUUGCUGGCCUAUGGUCAGCUCCUCUAAAAUAAAUCAGCUUGCCAGUGUUUGGUGGGUAUCACAGGUGUGAUAACUAUCUACGCUUGUGGUUUUCCACCAGGUAACCUUCAGCAGUGGAGGUUCCCUGGAGCUCACAGAUGUGUCUCUCCUCAGUGAGGACAGCUCUUUGAAUGUUUGAUCUCAAAUCAGGUAGGACUACCCGCUGAACUUAAGCAUAUCAAUAAGCGGAGGA